UACAGCCACAUCACGUUGUAAAACUGGUUCUCGUACGAUCACUGAAGUUAAGCAAUGUCGAGCCUGGUCAGUAUCUGAGUGAGUGACCACCUGGGAAUACCAGGUGUU